UUAAGCGACUAAGCGUACACGGUGGAUGCCCUGGCAGUCAGAGGCGAUGAAGGACGUGCUAAUCUGCGAUAAGCGUCGGUAAGGUGAUAUGAACCGUUAUAACCGGCGAUUUCCGAAUGGGGAAACCCAGUGUGUUUCGACACACUAUCAUUAACUGAAUCCAUAGGUUAAUGAGGCGAACCGGGGGAACUGAAACAUCUAAGUACCCCGAGGAAAAGAAAUCAACCGAGAUUCCCCCAGUAGCGGCGAGCGAACGGGGAGCAGCCCAGAGCCUGAAUCAGUGUGUGUGUUAGUGGAAGCGUCUGGAAAGGCGCGCGAUACAGGGUGACAGCCCCGUACACAAAAAUGCACAUAUUGUGAGCUCGAUGAGUAGGGCGGGACACGUGGUAUCCUGUCUGAAUAUGGGGGGACCAUCCUCCAAGGCUAAAUACUCCUGACUGACCGAUAGUGAACCAGUACCGUGAGGGAAAGGCGAAAAGAACCCCGGCGAGGGGAGUGAAAAAGAACCUGAAACCGUGUACGUACAAGCAGUGGGAGCACGCUUAGGCGUGUGACUGCGUACCUUUUGUAUAAUGGGUCAGCGACUUAUAUUCUGUAGCAAGGUUAACCGAAUAGGGGAGCCGAAGGGAAACCGAGUCUUAACUGGGCGUUAAGUUGCAGGGUAUAGACCCGAAACCCGGUGAUCUAGCCAUGGGCAGGUUGAAGGUUGGGUAACACUAACUGGAGGACCGAACCGACUAAUGUUGAAAAAUUAGCGGAUGACUUGUGGCUGGGGGUGAAAGGCCAAUCAAACCGGGAGAUAGCUGGUUCUCCCCGAAAGCUAUUUAGGUAGCGCCUCGUGAAUUCAUCUCCGGGGGUAGAGCACUGUUUCGGCAAGGGGGUCAUCCCGACUUACCAACCCGAUGCAAACUGCGAAUACCGGAGAAUGUUAUCACGGGAGACACACGGCGGGUGCUAACGUCCGUCGUGAAGAGGGAAACAACCCAGACCGCCAGCUAAGGUCCCAAAGUCAUGGUUAAGUGGGAAACGAUGUGGGAAGGCCCAGACAGCCAGGAUGUUGGCUUAGAAGCAGCCAUCAUUUAAAGAAAGCGUAAUAGCUCACUGGUCGAGUCGGCCUGCGCGGAAGAUGUAACGGGGCUAAACCAUGCACCGAAGCUGCGGCAGCGACGCUUAUGCGUUGUUGGGUAGGGGAGCGUUCUGUAAGCCUGUGAAGGUGUGCUGUGAGGCAUGCUGGAGGUAUCAGAAGUGCGAAUGCUGACAUAAGUAACGAUAAAGCGGGUGAAAAGCCCGCUCGCCGGAAGACCAAGGGUUCCUGUCCAACGUUAAUCGGGGCAGGGUGAGUCGACCCCUAAGGCGAGGCCGAAAGGCGUAGUCGAUGGGAAACAGGUUAAUAUUCCUGUACUUGGUGUUACUGCGAAGGGGGGACGGAGAAGGCUAUGUUGGCCGGGCGACGGUUGUCCCGGUUUAAGCGUGUAGGCUGGUUUUCCAGGCAAAUCCGGAAAAUCAAGGCUGAGGCGUGAUGACGAGGCACUACGGUGCUGAAGCAACAAAUGCCCUGCUUCCAGGAAAAGCCUCUAAGCAUCAGGUAACAUCAAAUCGUACCCCAAACCGACACAGGUGGUCAGGUAGAGAAUACCAAGGCGCUUGAGAGAACUCGGGUGAAGGAACUAGGCAAAAUGGUGCCGUAACUUCGGGAGAAGGCACGCUGAUAUGUAGGUGAAGUCCCUUGCGGAUGGAGCUGAAAUCAGUCGAAGAUACCAGCUGGCUGCAACUGUUUAUUAAAAACACAGCACUGUGCAAACACGAAAGUGGACGUAUACGGUGUGACGCCUGCCCGGUGCCGGAAGGUUAAUUGAUGGGGUCAGCGCAAGCGAAGCUCUUGAUCGAAGCCCCGGUAAACGGCGGCCGUAACUAUAACGGUCCUAAGGUAGCGAAAUUCCUUGUCGGGUAAGUUCCGACCUGCACGAAUGGCGUAAUGAUGGCCAGGCUGUCUCCACCCGAGACUCAGUGAAAUUGAACUCGCUGUGAAGAUGCAGUGUACCCGCGGCAAGACGGAAAGACCCCGUGAACCUUUACUAUAGCUUGACACUGAACAUUGAGCCUUGAUGUGUAGGAUAGGUGGGAGGCUUGGAAGUGUGGACGCCAGUCUGCAUGGAGCCGACCUUGAAAUACCACCCUUUAAUGUUUGAUGUUCUAACGUUGACCCGUAAUCCGGGUUGCGGACAGUGUCUGGUGGGUAGUUUGACUGGGGCGGUCUCCUCCUAAAGAGUAACGGAGGAGCACGAAGGUUGGCUAAUCCUGGUCGGACAUCAGGAGGUUAGUGCAAUGGCAUAAGCCAGCUUGACUGCGAGCGUGACGGCGCGAGCAGGUGCGAAAGCAGGUCAUAGUGAUCCGGUGGUUCUGAAUGGAAGGGCCAUCGCUCAACGGAUAAAAGGUACUCCGGGGAUAACAGGCUGAUACCGCCCAAGAGUUCAUAUCGACGGCGGUGUUUGGCACCUCGAUGUCGGCUCAUCACAUCCUGGGGCUGAAGUAGGUCCCAAGGGUAUGGCUGUUCGCCAUUUAAAGUGGUACGCGAGCUGGGUUUAGAACGUCGUGAGACAGUUCGGUCCCUAUCUGCCGUGGGCGCUGGAGAACUGAGGGGGGCUGCUCCUAGUACGAGAGGACCGGAGUGGACGCAUCACUGGUGUUCGGGUUGUCAUGCCAAUGGCACUGCCCGGUAGCUAAAUGCGGAAGAGAUAAGUGCUGAAAGCAUCUAAGCACGAAACUUGCCCCGAGAUGAGUUCUCCCUGACUCCUUGAGAGUCCUGAAGGAACGUUGAAGACGACGACGUUGAUAGGCCGGGUGUGUAAGCGCAGCGAUGCGUUGAGCUAACCGGUACUAAUGAACCGUGAGGCUUAACCUU
rnacentral:rRNA from 1 species